GAACUAUUUGAAUUAAAACAGAAUUGGUGUGUUUUCAACAGGAUGCAUUCAGUUUACUAGCAUAUUCAGAUCCCUGGAACAGCCCAGUUGGAAAUCAGCUUGACCCGAUUCAGAGAGAACCUGUGUGCUCAGCUCUUAACAGUGCAAUAUUAGAAACCCACAAUCUGCCAAAGCAACCUCCACUUGCCCUAGCAAUGGGACAGGCCACACAAUGUCUAGGACUGAUGGCUCGAUCAGGAAUUGGAUCCUGUGCAUUUGCCACAGUGGAAGACUACCUACAUUAGCUAUGCAUUUCAAGAGCUCACACUUAUAUCGUGGCAUAUAGUCAACAUGGAAGUAGACCAGCUCUGCUGAUUUGAAAUUUAGAUUUUUUAAAUUAUGUACUGGGGACAGGUUUUUGUCGCUUUACAUUGCUUCCUAGUUUACAGCAUGAUGCAAAUGAUUUUCUAACUUAGUGUUAGGAGAAAUUAUUUUCCAUCUUUAACCUCUUAGUUGUCUAAGAGUUAAAUAUUACUGAAUUUCAGACGUUCAAAUUGAUCAUCACAAAUCCUUUAAAACAAUUACCUAAAAGAAACCAAAAAUCCUGCCUUCUUUGUGGGGGAGGGGGGAGAGAGGGGAAGGAAAUGGAACAAGUUGUGUUUGUGUUAGCAUGUGGGUGAUGUAAACUUCAAAUUGGGAGAUGUUCCGACCCCCACUCCCAUAUAAGCAUUCAAUCAGUGUAACUUGCAAAAUGCAUAAACAUCCGACAGUUUGAAUUUAUAGUGUUGAUGGAAGAAAUCAUUUUUAAUGUGUACUGUAAAACUUGAAAUACUCAGGAGCUGAGUGAAUAUGUUUGUUGCUACUUACAAUCCCGACCUGUUAGUCCCAGUAGUUUUGUUUUAACAUGGUCUUUUUCAACUUUGUUUCCUGUUUAACUACAGAUGACUUCUGUUGUAGACUCACAAGUUUAACUGUUGUAUUAUAACAGUAUUACAUGUCAACGGUGUGGUUAUGACCUUUAUUUAUAUAAAAACCAAAUAUUUAGUCAAUUUACCGUGUCUUAAUUUAAUCUUUGUACACCUUCCAUUUUUAAGUGCUUAAAUGAGUACUAUAUUGCAAUAAAAUGUAGUGAUAUAAUUAACCAGCCAUUAAAAAUUUACUUCUACAGA